AGCAGCCGCGGUAAUUCCAGCUCCAAUAGCGUAUAUUAAAGUUGCUGCAGUUAAAAAGCUCGUAGUUGAAUUUCGGGACCAAUCUGCCGGUCGUGCCUCCGGUACGCACUGGUUUUAUUGGUCUCUCCCUUCUGACGAACCAUGAUGUCAUUAAUUUGGUGUCAUGGGGAAUCAGGACUGUUACUUUGAAAAAAUUAGAGUGUUUAUAGCAGGCUCACGCUUGAAUACAUUAGCAUGGAAUAAUGAAAUAGGACGUUUGACCCUAUUUUGUUGGUUUCUAGGAUCGACGUAAUGAUUAAUAGGGAUAGAUGGGGGCAUUAGUAUUCAAUUGUCAGAGGUGAAAUUCUUGGAUUUAUUGAAGACUAACUACUGCGAAAGCAUUUGCCAAGGAUGUUUUCAUUAAUCAAGAACGAAAGUUAGGGGAUCGAAGACGAUCAGAUACCGUCGUAGUCUUAACCAUAAACUAUGCCGACUAGGGAUCGGAUGAUGUUAAUUUUUUAAUGACUCAUUCGGCGCCUUA
rnacentral:rRNA from 1 species